rnacentral:rRNA from 1 species
UACAGAGGGUGCGAGCGUUAAUCGGAAUUACUGGGCGUAAAGCGCACGUAGGCGGCUUGGUAUGUCGGGUGUGAAAUCCCCGGGCUCAACCUGGGAACUGCAUCCGAAACUGCCUUGCUAGAGUAUGGGAGAGGGAAGUGGAAUUUCCGGUGUAGCGGUGAAAUGCGUAGAUAUCUGGAGGAACACCGGUGGCGAAGGCGGCGUUCUGGACUGCAACUGACACUGAGGAACGAAAGCCAGGGGAGCAAACGGG